GACGAACGCUGGCGGCGUGCUUAACACAUGCAAGUCGAACGAAGUGGCGAACGGGUGAGUAACGCGUAAUCAACCUGCCCUUCAGAGGGGGACAACAGUUGGAAACGACUGCUAAUCCCGCAUACUGAAGGAGGGGAUUGCGUCUGAUUAGCUAGUUGGGGGGGUAACGGCCCACCAAGGCGAUGAUCAGUAGCCGGUCUGAGAGGAUGAACGGCCAAAUUGGGACUGAGACACGGCCCAGACUCCUACGGGAGGCAGCAGUUGGGAAUCUUCCGCAAUGGACGAAAGGCUGACGGAGCAACGCCGCGUGAGUGAUGACGGCCUUCGGGUUGUAAAGCUCUGUUAAUCGGGACGCGGUACCGGAAUAGAAAGCAACGGCUAACUACGUGCCAGCAGCCGCGGUAAUUC
rnacentral:rRNA from 1 species